rnacentral:rRNA from 1 species
CCUACGGGUGGCAGCAGUGAGGAAUAUUGGUCAAUGGACGAGAGUCUGAACCAGCCAAGUAGCGUGAAGGAUGACUGCCCUAUGGGUUGUAAACUUCUUUUAUCAAGGAAUAAAACGAGGCUCGUGUGCCUUUUUGCAUGUACUUUAUGAAUAAGGAUCGGCUAACUCCGUGCCAGUAGCCGCGGUAAUACGGAGGAUCCGAGCGUUAUCCGGAUUUAUUGGGUUUAAAGGGAGCGUAGACGGGUUGUUAAGUCAGUUGUGAAAGUUUGCGGCUCAACCGUAAGAUUGCAAUUGAUACUGGCAGUCUUGAGUAGAGUUGAGGUAGGCGGAAUGCGUGGUGUAGCGGUGAAAUGCUUAGAUAUCACGAAGAACCCCGAUUGCGAAGGCAGCAUACUAAACUGUGACUGACAUUGAGGCACGAAAGUGUGGGUAUCAAACAGGAUUAGAUACCCUAGUAGUC